AACUCAAUUAGAUGCAUUAACCAGAAGUAUUAAUUCCUCUUAUUAAUAAGCCACAAUUUGAGGAGCUUAGGGUCGUUAGGGGUAUUUUGGGAAACUAAAAUUGUUUAGCCUAACACACGUGUUAUCGCUGUUUUCACCCAGUUCUGGCACGUACAUCCCCAGAAUGAACGCCCGCCAGUCUGCCGCUUUCUAAUUUGCUUUAAGAAGAUAGAAAGGAAACCGCCGGCCGUCAUCUCCGCCCAUCCAAUUUCCUUUCAAUAAGCCAAGAUCUGCACUCUGUUACAAAACAGUUUCCUCUUUCUUGUAGAUUUUAUAUGGAUUUCUGCUACAAGAAAAAGCUAAAAGAACUGUGAGAUGCUGGUGGGUUUCUGCUCUGUGAUCUAUAGAAGGUGGUAAAAGAUAUUGAAAUUCUUGAUGGUAAAUGGGUACUUUCUAUUUCCUGGCUGUAAUGACUAGAUGUAGAGAAUCUUGGCUUAUAAAUGAAAUAAAGCGGAGUAUUUCUCUGUUUAUUUUGAGUUAUAUGUGUUGAUAUUCUAAGAGUUGCAUACUACGAAUUUGAGUUUUCAGUUACUGAAAAUCUUUAUGUACCUGUAAAUUUAAAUGUUUUCGUUAUAAGAAGAUUUUCUGGAUGAAUGAACUGCCUGCGAAAUUGAAUCCCACAACAACAACUGGCCAGUGUGUUCCCACAAGUGGGGUUUGGGGAGGAUAAGAUGUAUGCAACCUUACCCCUACCAUAUAAAGGCAGGAAGACUAUUUCCGAUAAACUCUCGGCUAAAGAAAAGAUGGAAGAAGCACUGAUAGCAUCAUAGCCACCUUCGAAAUUGAAUCAAAUUAUUUUAUUUCGCUUUAAAAGAAAACAAGUAAGUGUGAUCCAAUUCAGUGACUCUGAACUCCGUCAUUCAUUUAGAGAUAAAGAGAGCAUGUGACUCAAUUUUCAUUAUUUCCCAUUAAUAUUUUUAUCCAUUUAUUUUUCUGGGUGACAGAAUUCAGUUGCCCAUACAACUGGGCGUGUGACUGUUAGUAUGUCUGAACUUGCAAUUUCUUUCACAUCAUCAAGAGUAGUUAGCCGGCUUUUAGUACUAAUUUGUCACUUGUGCCCAUCAUGCCGUUGCGCAUUUUUGGCUGCUGCCGAGCUCAACUUCAACAUUGUUAGUGGGAGCAAUUAAUUAGAUUACAUUUAAACAAGCUAUUACUUGAGUGAUAUUUGAUUAUUCAUGCUGGUACUUUGAAUAUAUUUGUUGUUAGAUUCUGAAAUCAUGUUGAGUGUUACUACAGGCAAUUAUAUCUCUAUUAAUGUUUACGCCUUUUGCAAUUGCAAUGGAGGGUUCCGAAAGGUGGGAAAUAGGAUGGCAAAACACACUCUCUCAAAUAGGAUCCAAUUUUGUUAAUUGGUGAGGAUUGACAACUUCCACUUUUCAUGAUGCAUGCUCCUAGUAUUUGCUGAGGAAUAGUUGUACCUCAAUUAUUGAAUAUGUAUCUUGGUUGCUGCAGUUUGAGUUGAGUUUACAUCGUCCUCCAUAUUACUUGAAUCAUGGUUGUUUUGUUUGACUAUUUUAGAAUGUUGAUAAAAACUAAAGGUACUUUAUAUUAAUCCCUUUUUUCCUAGGCAUCAGUCAGGUAUAAGGUGAUUAUGGAUGCUGUGCUUGUGUCUAUAUUAAUGGAUGCUGCCUUAGUCUCUAACUCUCUCUUUUGCAUACUUCUGAAUCAUUUAAUAAACUAUGUGAUAGCUCUUGUUAUGUUAUUGCUGAUAGUUUUCCUACUUGGAUGCUUAUAGUAAAAGUUUUUUUCACGAAAUAUUUUAUGACUAUCCUAUUAACAGUUUUUGUCUUUGGGUUUCGUAUAGAGUAUCAGCACAUGACAUAUGCUAUCACUUAUAUAACCAGUUGUUUUAUAUGUCAUUGGAUGAGAUUUCUCACCUGUUGUUUAGCAUAGAAAUACAAUGAAGCGGAUAUCUUUCAUUGUUACCUCCAUCAUAAUCUUCCAAAUACCUGUUCGACUCAUCAAUGCACUUGGAGCUGCCAUUAUCUUCAUAGGAACUUUCAUGUAUUCACAAGUGAGUUUCUUCUUCACUGUCUAUUGCUUAAAAAUUCUGCUGCAUCAAAGCGCACUGUUGGAAGUGAAGAAGCAAAUAGAGUUCUAUUAGGAAUAUAGCAUUGAUCCUGGAAGGUACAUGGGUUCUUCAUUUGGUUUGUCCUUCUUCCUAUUUAAAGAAUCAUCGAAGUUAAUUCCUGAUCAUAGUUCCAAUAUAUGUUUGGUGGUAUUUUUCAUAUAGCUUCUAAAUUUAUCAAUUUUCUUUCUGAAGACUUCAAUUGAAGGAUGUUUGAAUAAGCAAAGAAGUUUUUCUUUUGUGAAAGGCAAAAUACAUAAGUUACCUCUCGACCUAUGGACCAAAUCCUUGUUACACACUUUCUGACCCCGAAAAUCAUUUUACACACUCAACCUUUUCAAAGUGUGUCUAAUACACACCUUUUUUGAUACGUGGCUCGCGAGUGUUUUAACAAAAAUAAUGAGCGCGUGUAUUUCUUUUAUUUUCCAUUUUUAUCAAAUAAAAAAGUUUCCAAACUAAUAAUCUCUGUCUCCUGUCUUGCCCAAACUACUAGGACCCACCUCCUUCCUCUCCGGCCUUCCCCAAACACCCAUUCUGUUUCGUCUCUUCCUCUGAAAUUUCAAAAAUUCACAAAACUCAUGGUAAAUAAUUUAAAGGAAGUGCUAUAAAUUUUGUUUAAAAUUGUCUUUCAAACUUCUGUCGCUUUUUUUUCUGUCAUUAAAACCCACAAACUAUUUAAUCUUUACAUAAAUAAAAAAGAAUUUUUUUAAUAUUUCAUGAGAAUGACUAAAAUUAUAAAAUCCCAACUCAGUUUCCUUCCUAUAAGGGUAGGUUUGAGAUCUAUUCAUAAUAAAGUUGUUUAAUUCAUGGAAAUGAAAAAUUGACUUUGAUUUACUUUGUUUGAGUGUAGUAUGAGAUCUGAAAAUGGAAGAGGAAAAUGAAAAAUAUAGGAGUUGCAAUUUCAGUUUUCAUCUCUUCUAUUCUCGGUCUUGGGUUUGCUAUGGAGGAAUCAAUGCAAAAUUGAAUAUGGGUGAAGCUAAUAAGCUGUGGUUAUGACUUUUUUCUUGUGGUGCCAUCGACGGCGCACGGCAGUAGAAGAUGGAGAAGUUAAAAGGAUUUUCAAAUUGGGGGUAUAAGAGUAAUUUUAAAUAUUUUCCUUUUUAAAAAAUAAUAAUGACACAUGUCAUGACUUUAUUGGUGCGUGACAUUAUACAUCUUUUGGUAAACUGGUCAAGAAAAAAGAGGUGUGUAUUAGACACACUCUGAAAAAGUUAAAUGUGUAAGAUAAUUUUUGUAGUAAGAAAGUGUGUAACAGGGAUUUGGUCCAUAGUUUAAGGGGCAAGUUAUGUAUUUUGCCUUUGUGAAAAUUAAGUCAUGUUUUACUUUUGAAAUGGACCGAGUGCAAGUUGCACAUACAGAUCAUAACAACAGAGGUGUGUAACAAGUCUAUCGUUAAGGUGCACCAUAUAUGACCAUGCUUACUGAGGCAACUUUAAAUUGUUGUUGCGUAACCUGAUAUUCUUGGGCUUUUUUUUUUUUUUUUUUUUUUUUUUUUUUUUUUUUUUUUUUUUUUUUUUUUUUUUUUUUUUUUUAAUAAAAGAUGAAGCACGAUGCUCAUAUUUGGAUGCUAAGUGCCUCUUCAAUUGCAAAAAUAGAUAUUUGGAUACUAAGUGCCUCUCCAAUUGCAAAAAUAGAUUAACCAACUCUCAAAUAUCCUGUCGAUAAAGGUAUUAGUUUAUCUGUGAAGCAAGGAAUGCAAGUUAAGAAAAUAGUGAUACAAACAUGUUCAUCCAAAAUGUAUGUGUCAGUUAGAAUGUAUAUGACAGAUAGAAGUUGCGACGGUGCCUAUUAUUGCAGAAAAGGUGGUUUUGCCCAAUUAAUUCGUUCAAUUUCACCAAUACUGGAUGAGACAAUAAGAUUCAAAAUCCUCACUCUUCUUCCAUGCAUUUUCAGAUAUGUUCGUCAUUCGUAUAUCACUGUGAGAUUUGCUGAUUACAACCAAAGCCCAGUCAAUGAAGUUGACUAUGCUUGAAAUUUAGUACCCCAGAUCUAACUGUACUUUUAUCCUCUUUUGCAUAUAAUAUUGUGCCAUGAAGUACCCUCCUGUAUCCAUGUUGUACAUAAUACUCUUUUUCUUGAGGUUACUUAUUUCAAUUUCAAUAGUGAGCACUAUUUUUACUAGCACCAGCAUACAUGAAAAAAAUACUAGCUAACAUGUGACGAUGGUUCGUUAUGUUGAAAGCAGAGGUUUUCCUA